rnacentral:misc_RNA from 1 species
AUAGAUUUUUAAGUCCCA